AACAGAGUAAGACUCUGUCUCAAAAUAAAUAAAUAAAUAAAUAAAUAAAUUCUUAUAGAUAGUACUAGACUUUCCUCCAAAGAACCUAUACCAGUUUACUCUCCCACCGUUAAACCAUGAGUAUGCUCACUCUCUCACAUCCUUGCCCCUAGGUAUCUCAUAUAUGUGUGUGUGUGUGUGUGUGUGUGUGUGUGUGUGUGUGUGUGUGUAUACAUACACACAUUAUAUAUAUAUAUAUAUUUUUUUGGGGGGGGCAAUCUAGUGUGUGCAAAAGAGCUUUUCACUUUUGUUUUCAUUUGUAUUUCCCUGAGUCUCUGUGGCUUAGCCAAAGGCCCACUAGCUGAAGAAAACAUUGUGAAGAACCAAAGAGAGCUCAAGAAUGAAUAGCAGAGAUUUAUGGCGGCUCUAAGGAAGAACUUGCUGUCAGUACCUAGACCCUGAUCUUGUUCAAGCAGCCACCUGCCUGGAGGUGCCUUUUCCAGUAAUUGGUUGAGGAGUGAUCUUGUUCUAGCCAAGGAGACAUUAGGAGGACAUCUUCAGGGGACUUAGGGGAUAGCUCUUUCUCCCUGAAAAGAAGAAAUGAGAGCAGCCACCUUGUGACCAUGAGGAAAAGGCCAAGAGAAGUACAGAGGCAUCAAUCUGGACCCUGGCAUUACUGAGGAUCUAAACAACCCCCGCCCCCACCUUCCAACUUCCUGUUAUGUGAGAGUCUUACUCUGUUGCCC